GACAGAGGAUGCAAGCGUUAUCCGGAAUUGAUUGGGCGUAAAGGCGUCUGAGUAGGUGGCUUUUAAGUCCGCCGUCAAAUCCCAGGGCUCAACCCUGGAACAUGGCGGUGGAAACUACCAAGCUGGAGUACGGUAGGGCUAGAGGGAAUUUCCGGUGGAGCGGUGAAAUGACGUAGAGAGUACGGUAAAGAACACCAACGG
rnacentral:rRNA from 1 species